UCGAAAUGAUGCAACGGUUUUUAAAAGCCCGGCUCUUAACUCCUAAAUGGCUAGCUUAACUCGUUAGGUGACCAUUGCUUUCUGCUGCUUAAAAAUACACUUUGGCAGGAAAGAGCGCACCAGCCUCCCUUUAUUUUUUGUGAAGAUUUCGUCAUAAGAAGCACUCCAUGAUGUAAAUGGCAUAAUCUUUUAGAUCAAAACAAAUCAGUGCGCACCCUUAGAAUGUAUUAAUGCCAUUCACAAAUGGGAAUACAACAGCUGUCUCCAAAUCUAUUUGACGGCUUUUGCCCAAGUAAAAUGACAGAAGAGAAGACAAAUACAUACACCCUGCAAGCAUCUGUCUUCGCUGAUGGUGCUGCCACUUAGAAGACCACAGCCAUAGCAUAAUUUAUGCAUUCAUGAAAGGCAGUUGGCCUGUUCCUCUGGGACUGAAAAUGUCACCUCUGCUAGACCAGGGCCUGGAAUUUCAGCUGCAUUCUUGAACUUGUGUUGCCCAGUUACUGUUUGAUUACUUUAAUACAAGAAGAAAUAAAUAAUGCAGAUUACCAGAUAUUGUUAACUCUUU